rnacentral:rRNA from 1 species
GCUUAACACAUGCAAGUCGAACGAAGAGCGAUGGAAGCUUGCUUCUAUCAAUCUUAGUGGCGAACGGGUGAGUAACGCGUAAUCAACCUGCCCUUCAGAGGGGGACAACAGUUGGAAACGACUGCUAAUACCGCAUACGAUCUAAYCUCGGCAUCGAGGAURGAUGAAAGGUGGCCUCUAUUUAUAAGCUAUCACUGAAGGAGGGGAUUGCGUCUGAUUAGCUAGUUGGAGGGGUAACGGCCCACCAAGGCGAUGAUCAGUAGCCGGUCUGAGAGGAUGAACGGCCACAUUGGGACUGAGACACGGCCCAGACUCCUACGGGAGGCAGCAGUGGGGAAUCUUCCGCAAUGGACGAAAGUCUGACGGAGCAACGCCGCGUGAGUGAUGACGGCCUUCGGGUUGUAAAGCUCUGUUAA